rnacentral:rRNA from 1 species
UUGUCAAGAGGGAAACAGCCCAGAACACCGACUAAGGUCCCCAAUGUUACACUAAGUGGCGAAGGAUGUGGAAUUUCCAAAACAACCAGGAUGUUGGCUUAGAAGCAGCCACCAUUUAAAGAGUGCGUAAUAGCUCACUGGUCGAGAGACUCUGCGCCGAAAAUGUCCGGGGCUAAAGUGUAAAACCGAAGUCGUGUCAUAUGCAGCAAUGUAUAUGGGUAGGGGAGCGUUCUCAUCGGGCUGAAGCAGUACCGUAAGGAGUUGUGGACUGAUGAGAAGUGAGAAUGUCGGUAUGAGUAGCGAAAAGAAUGGUGAGAAUCCAUUCCACCGAAAGCCUAAGGGUUCCUGAGCAACGAUCGUCGUCUCAGGGUAAGUCGGGACCUAAGCCGAGGCGGAAAAGCGUAGGCGAUGGACAACAGGUUGAAAUUCCUGUACCGGUGUGAAUCGUUUGAUCGAUGGAGUGACACAGUAAGGUAGGUCAGCACGCGAUUGGAAGUGCGUGUUUAAGCAGGUAGGUUGAGCUAUAGGUAAAUCCGUAGCUCUAAAAGCUGAGAUGUGAUGACGAGCGACUAGCAAUAGUCGCGAAGUGAUUGAUCCUACACUGUCGAGAAAAGCUUCUAGGUAGAGACACAUCGCCCGUACCAAAACCGACACAGGUAGGCGGGGAGAGAAUCCUAAGGUGCGCGGGAAAACCCUCGUUAAGGAACUCGGCAAAAUGCCUCCGUAACUUCGGGAAAAGGAGGACUCAUGUAGUGUGAAGAGCAGAAGCGCUUGGAGCAUGAAUGAGUGGCACAAGAGAGGCGCAAGCGACUGUUUACCACAAACACAGGUGCCUGCUAAAGCGAAAGCUGAUGUAUAGGUGCUGACACCUGCCCGGUGCUGGAAGGUUAAGAGGAGGGGUUAGACUUCGGUCGAAGCUCUGAAUUGAAGCCCCAGUAAACGGCGGCCGUAACUAUAACGGUCCUAAGGUAGCGAAAUUCCUUGUCGGGUAAGUUCCGACCCGCACGAAAGGUGUAACGACUUGCGCACUGUCUCAACGAGGGACCCGGUGAAAUUGAAGUACCUGUGAAGAUGCAGGUUACCCGCGACUGGACAGAAAGACCCCAUGGAGCUUUACUGCAACCUAAGAUUGAACUUAGUUAAUGAAUGUACAGGAUAGGUGGGAGACGGAGAACCUAGGACGCCAGUUUUAGGGGAGUCGCUGUUGGGAUACCACCCUUUCAUUAAUUGAUUUCUAACGGGCCGAGUAACGACCGGCCGGACAGUCUUAGGCGGGCAGUUUGACUGGGGCGGUCGCCUCCAAAAGAGUAACGGAGGCGCCCAAAGGUUCCCUCAGAGCGGACGGAAAUCGCUCGAAGAGUGUAAAGGCAGAAGGGAGCUUGACUGCGAGACGGACAGGUCGAGCAGGGACGAAAGUCGGGCUUAGUGAUCCGGUGGUGCCGAGUGGAAGGGCCAUCGCUCAACGGAUAAAAGCUACCCUGGGGAUAACAGGCUAAUCUCUCCCAAGAGUCCAUAUCGACGGGGAGGUUUGGCACCUCGAUGUCGGCUCAUCACAUCCUGGGGCUGAAGUAGGUCCCAAGG